UAAGGGCUGACUGCCACUGGGAAAGGAUCUCUUUCUGGAGAUUCCUCAUCUGUGGAGUCUUUCCUGCAAACCUAGAUCUUCAGAUACAGGGAUGGAUAUGCAUCAGUUCAGCUCCAUUCUGAAGCUUGUUAAACCUGUUCCAUACCUGGGUUUUAGGCUGUCUUCACUUAAGGGCCUUUGGGUCCUCUCCUGCACUGUGUAGUUAGUAGCUGUCAGUGGACAUCUGGUGUGUUAUCCCCAUCACUGCAGAAAUAGGUUUAUUGUGCUUGCUGCAGAAAAGGGCUUAUGUUGAAGAAAAGACUGAGUCCCUACCUUUUAUAUAUGAAAUGCAUUCCAUACACUGAGUGCAGGAAAGGAUCACCCUUCCCACAGGACCUGGCUCUAUGGGUGCUGCCCAGUGAUGACUUGCUCCGAGGUGUGCUCAGGGCCAGAGCAUGAACCUACCCUGACCACUGCUGGCUCUUGAAGUCCACACAAACCAGGAUGGUGGUGCAUUGAGCAAACACACGGGCAAGAAAAAGGUGGAUUUAUUUCUUGUCCACAUCAAAAUGCAGAGACUGCUCCAUUCAUCAGGUCCAUGGCAUACAAAGGAGAUAUUAUUGACAUGUAUCUUCUAUCCUAGCAAGGAAAACUGAGAAUCAGAAGAAGCAUUCAGCAAGCAAACAGGAACAGAUGCCUGAAAGAUCUCAUAUCAGCAGAUAUAGUAUCAAUAAACCACCAUUCAGUUCCCUGACCUGGUGACAAUCAUCCCUGCUCUGCACACCUGGGCCAACUCAGGAUGAACCACUCAUAUGGAGAUGAAGGGCAGAGAAGGAGAAAGGAUGUAUCAGAAUUAUGGAGACCAUCUUCCGCAAAGGGAAAAAUCCUCGAUGAAGAAGAAAGCCCAUAAACCACAUAAAAGUUUAUUUGGUGACUAAGGAGGAAGAGAAAAAACAUAUAUAUUCUCUACAGCUCUUACUUUCAAUACAUGCAUUACAUAUUAUUUAUUUACAUAAUUACCCAUUGGUAUUGCUUUUUUUACAACUUCACUUGGAAAACUAUGCUGUGUGUUGGCCUAAGCAUCCAGUCUGAACACAGAAGUGCCACCUGGGUGCCUAGAAAUAAUUCUGGUGCCAUUGGUCAAUUUUAAUUGUAUUUGACAGGCUGAAGUUUGAGAGAGAACGUUUCUUCCAGUUAUUUCAAGCAAAUGGUGGGUAGGUACAACAAACACCAGUGGCUGUUCCAGGCUGAAAGCUAAACUCAGCCUUAGAGAAAAGAAGAGGGCUUUACCUCUUAGUGUAGGCUUCAUGUUUUUUCGUGAUGCACAGAAUUACUUAUUGUAUGAUUUGCUUUCAUUACAUUUUUUCCAGAUGUCCAGAGACUGUAGCAUGCAAUGUAAUUGAAAGUUCAACCAUUACUCAUGUUUUAAAAAGAAAUCCUUCAAAAAAAUUGGGUUUUGUUUUGAACU